AGUUUAAUAGGACUGCAACAACAAUUUUGCCUUUCUACUUUCUGCUCACCGAAGAAGACAGGAAAACUUGUCAGAUGGGGAAGGAUGUGUCAAGAGCAUGCACACAGAUUUACUCUUCAGCUAGAAGCUCCAAUUCCUAGAUGAUCUGAAUCCAACUCAGAGUGCUUGCACCUGUUUCCUGCCACACAGCUAGAGCUGUCCAGUGAG
rnacentral:lncRNA from 1 species